rnacentral:rRNA from 1 species
GCCUGCCCUCCCGUACGCGACCCCAGGCCAGGCGGGGCUACCCGCUGAGUUUAAGCAUAUCAAUAAGCGGAGGAAAAGAAACUAACGAGGAUUCCCC